GUAAUCCUCUUGGUAUGCAUUUACAGGAAAAUCUAAUGACACUGUCACUGCCACAUGGAAAACUAUACUCAUAGAUGCCUGAACUAAUCUACUAAGGUAAUUGAUAGCAAAAAAAAAAUAAAAAAAAAAUAGGUCAUGACUUGUGCGGGCGGAGAGUAAGUCCGGAAGCGUAGGUUCGGGACACAACCUGCGCUUAGGAAGGCUCUGGUUCAUCUGGCAGUGACUGUGGAGUAAGAGAAAACAAAAACAGGAUUUUUGUGCAACAAACGGAUAAAUGAGAGAGCAGAAGGUUUAUGAAACGACCCGCAAACGAUCCACGCAAUUAGAGCUAAGCUGUCCUCAGCGAUAGGGACAUUCGCUCACGGGACUGGUCAGAUGGUGAAAACGACUUGCUCGCUGCCUCAUCGACUAUGAUGCAGUGGCAGCCCAGUGCUACACUAUUCCUCCCAAAGGACAAGUUCCCCAACCCCUGGCUCUCCUUGGAUCAAGACUCUGAACACUGCUACUACUACCACCUCCUCAAUACUUGCCAGCUCAGUCCAUUCCAAGACACCCACCCAGGUCAUUAUCUUCAAUAAACAUUCCUUCCUCUCGCAUAACAUCCUCCACAACAUCUCAUCCUCUACAGUUUUCUUCAUUUUCAAUCCCCUCCUCCCUUAUUAUUACUCUCCAUCUUUACCAUAGUGCUAUAUGACCUUUGAUGUCUAGCACAUUUAUUUAUUUUAACCUUGAGUCUUCAUCCCUAUUGUCCUACCCACCACAGUACUACCUCACUCCACACCACUCCAUCUUCCUCCUGUCCUCACCCUUUUUUUGUUUCUUUUCUGUAAACCUUCAGAGAACUCCUUUUAGCUCAUCCAAGUUGGAUUGAUAUUUUUGUGAUUCCCCCUACAGCUUAUAACUUACCUCUUCCAACAAUGUCUCAAAAAACAAAUAGGCAAAGUUUCCUUCUGCAGCUAUUCCAUUCAUUCACACUUUGUCACAAUUACAUCUGAGCCCCGAGCUCAUGCAUCAUCUACCCUGACUGAUAUUAUUGGCAAACCUAUUCCUGCCCACCCUCCCUCUUUAACCCAAUGCCAACGAGCAUGAUGUGUACGUGUAUGCCAUGCCCACUGUGACUUUUACUUGUUUAAUUGUUUUUACACAUA